rnacentral:lncRNA from 1 species
GCUUAUGUAUAUCCGUUUACUUAUUAUUGCUUCCUCACGCCUCCUUAUUUAGUGGAGAAAACCCAGCUUUCUUGGUAUGUAACUGGAAGGUAUGUGAUGGGGAAAAUGUGGCUGUUUAUAGCCCUCUGUGGCCUUGAACAUGUUACCAAAGUCAUUCAGGUUUCAGUUGCUUCUGUAUGAAGUGGGUCUUGUGAGUAAAAACAGAAAUACUACAUUUUUCAUUAAGCACCAUCACAUCAUCAGCUCCUCACAUAGGUGAAAGUUUUUCUUGUACCUUAUGGCUCAUUCUUUCAUUAUCAAAAACUUUUUCUAAUAGGAUUUUCUUAAAGCCACAGAGUGUUACAGCCAGAAGGGAGCUAACAACUGAAGAAAAGAACUUUUUCACUGUAAAGGUCCAUUCAAAUACAAAAGUCCUUACAAAUACCUGUAAGGAAAGACACAUCCAAAUCCCCAUGCUGCAUUUGGAGUCUGUUUUCUGUUUGUUCUGUUCUCAGUGGGGAGAACAGCUCAUUACUGUCCUAGGCAUGAGCCUUUGAUAUACUUGAAAACCACUGCAAGCUAACCCUAUAACCCUCUUGGCUCUAAACAGAAUUACCUUGGUUCCUUUAACCUCUUCUGAUCUUUAUUUUUCAGACCUCUAACAGCUCUGUGGCUUUUUUCUGAACUGACUCCACUUUCUCUCACCCCCAUUAAUUGCUGGUGUCAGAACUGGACUCAUGCUCAGAGAGGGUCUGUCCAGGUCUGCUUGGCUGAGCAGGGGAGAUGGGAGUAGAGAGGCAGGCAGUGGCCGCAGCAGCUUGUUAGAGGAUGAACGAGGUGGGGAAGAGGAGUAGGCAGCACGACAGUUAGAAUCAGACAUUUUCCCUGCCAUAUCAUUUCCAUUUCAGAGUUUCCCAAACAAGACCACACACAUUAGCAAACCACUUCCUUGAAAAGUGUUUAACAAGGCUUUGCCCAGUGUUCCUACAGGAAUUCAGAAAGCAGCCAAUUUUUGGUCCGGAGGGCAGGAUUUGUGUUGCAUACAUAAUUAGAAGUAUGUUUUAAUUAGCUCCUAAGAUUUUAAAAGUAAGAGAAUUCACCUAAGAAUUUUCCAGAUUUCUAGCUUCUUUCGUGUUCUGAAGGUUGGGAAUAUUAGGCCAGCUUGUCAGGCCUGGGACCAUUUGCUGAAGCUUAAGAGCAGCUCCCUCUGUUUAGACGGGAACUGACUGGUGUCCUUGUAAGAAAAGGAAGUGACACCAGAGAAGAUAUUCCCUCUCCACGUGGGUACAGAGGAUAGGCCAUGUGAGGACCCGGGGAGAAGGCAGCACCUAGAAUUGGGAAGAGAGGCUUCACUAAUAACCAGUCUUGAUGGACCUUGAUCUUGGAUUUUGUCUCCAGAACCAUGAGAAAGGGAAUUUCUAUUAUCUAAGCCUCCAAGUCUGUGGUAUUUUGUUACAACAGCGUCGGCAGACUAAUACACUUAUGUGCCUCACUGACUUUGUGCCUGGCUUCUGUGGGCAUUUGAGCUUGAGACCCCUGCUUCACAGGCAUGGGAGUUAAAAGAGUGAAUAUCACUUCCUAUACGUUGUGGACUGGUAGAGAAAGCUAAAUAGAGACAUAAUUUAUGCACAGGACAUAAUGUAAGAGAUGCACAAACUGAUACUGAAGGACAGAACUGUCAAUGGCUGAGAUGGAAGGGAGAAGAGCAGGAGUUUUUACUAUGGGGAGAGGGAAUGUUGGAAGAGUUUUAAGAGAUUCAGAAGAUUUCAACAAAUGGUGACAGAACAAAAGGCGGGAGCAAAGGCAUGCAGGCGUGAACACAGGUAGUAUCUUACAAGGCUUGGCUAGAGUUUGGGUGCCCUGCAGGUAGGGGGUGUGUGUGGCAGGAGAUAAGGCCACCAAAGGAAGAUAGAGUCAGGUCAUGAGCCCUGAAUGCCAUGCUGCUCUAGGAUUUGGUUUGAUUCUGGAGUAAAUGAGGAGCACCUGAGGGGAUGGAAGAGGGGGAACUGAGUGGAUGAAAAGUAGGAUCUAAUUAAUUAACUAAAUAUUUAUUGGGAACACCCAGUGUGCCAAGUGUUGCAAAUACAGUUGUGGACAAGACAGAACAAAGUCUUUGACCUCAUGGAACUGAGAGAAAAAAAAAACCCACUCAGAUAUUCAGCAGGAUGUCAGGGAGGGGUAAGUGCUAUAAAGAAAAGCAAGCGUGUCAGCGUAUUGGGUCAUAUGGUGUAGACGCAUGUGGUCAGCAAAGGCUUGGUAUUUGGGCAUAACCCUGAAUGAAUUGAGAGAAUGAAUCAUUUGGGGACUAUACUUCUAGACAGAGGGAACCACAUGUCCAAACGUACUGAGACAGGAGCACAAUUAUGUUCAGGGAACAACACAGAGGACCGUCUGGCAGGAAUAAGCAACAGGAAGAGUGGUGGGCAGUGAGAGUGAGGUGGUCAGGGCUCAGAUCUUUCUCCAGGAAGGGAACUCCAAUGCAGAGUGAAGGACUGCUCGGGGUCUAGGACUGCAGUGGGGAGACUGCUAGAUGCCUAUAGGAAUGUUGAGGCCCUGCGCCAGUGCAGGAGCAAUGGUGGAGGAAUUGUAGAGCCAUACACAGGAGAAGGCACCUUGUGGACAAGGUGAAGGAGAAGGACCAGUAGACAGAUGAAAUCCCCAAACAGAGCUGGCCUUGAGGAAGACAGGGCUCUGAGACAGGAUGAGAUGGGGGCACUCACCUCCUAAUCUAUGGAUUUGUCAUGUAUGAUGACAGCUGUCAGAGAAGGAGAACCAAAGUUCCUUCACUCCCAAAGUUCAGACCCUUGGUCUGUGACUGUUCCAAAGAAGAGUGAAGGCAGAGACAAAAGUCAUCGGUUUCCACAGCUCAGAAGCCAAGGCAGGCCCCACGGACCAUCAGGGAGAACACAAGAGUUCUUGCCCCAGUAGGUACAACAGCUCCAUCCCUUACCACUACAGGUCUGGCAAAUGUCCUCCUGGUUUGGUCUAAACGUAGAAUGAAAUGACUUGUUCUAACAAGUAGAAAUAAAAAGACCUGAAAGGCAGAGCAGAGGGAGAGGUUAAUGCAGUACAGAAUGUGGGUUGGCUCAGUAUAGUUUCUCUUUGGCAUUUUUUCUUUUAUUACUUAAACUUUGGUGAGGAGGAGGUAGUCUUUUGAGAACCAUAUAAAGCUCUGUCUCCAGAGUGCAUGGAACCCACAGCUCGGUCCAUGCCUUUGGCAUUCACCUCUACCAAGUUUUCACCCUUGGUAUUUUCCCUUUUCCUUCUUACUUGGCUGGGAGAAUUAUGAGCUCCUUAGGAAAGAAUGCUAGGCUUUCUCUGUUGCCCCUGCUGUGGGCAAAUGUUCAAAAAAGGCAUCAUUUAUGAAUAUCUGGGGUAAGAGCGCCCUCUUCGGGUACACCCUAUUGGUGUUUGGCUGCUAUUUCCCGGACCUCGCAAAGGCUUAAUCUUUUUUAUGACUUAGGUUGUCGAAGGAGAAGAGCAAAAAGUACUCUCGUUGGGAUAAAUUAAUUUCAUCCAAUGUUUCUAGAACAAUCCUAAUCCUUACUUGGCAUGGUUUCUGAAUCUUCUGACCCCACCUUUCUUUGGGAUUUACACUUAGCCUUUUGUUAACCCAAGAAAAAUAGGUGAAAAUGACAGCAAUUCAAAGCUUGGAGAGAGUGUUGAUAUAAUCACUUUUCUGCCUCCAUUUCUGUGAUAUUUAUUAAGUGUCUACUCAGUUUUUUGAAUGCUUGAAGGCCAGGCAUUCUCCUAGGUCUCUCAGGAUCUUAAAUGAAUAAGAUACAGUCCUUGCCACUGCUGAGCUUGGAGUAUGGUGGGGAAGAUGGAUGAACAAAUAGAAAAUUAUAUUACCGGGAGACAAAUACUGAAGUGUGAACAAUGAAGUAGGUGGUUAGAGGGGAAUGAAUUUGUUGGUUAUUUAAACCCAAAGGUGAAAAAAAUGACUUCCUCCUUGACCAAAUUAUUCCUCUUGACAGUCACAUCUCUCCUGUGCACUAGACCUCAAGAUUCUAAGAACAAGGGAGUUCCCUUGUGGUGCAGCAUGUUAAGGAUCCAGUGUUGUCACUGCAGAGACUCCUAUCACUGCUGUGAUGCAGAUUCGAUCCCUGGCCUGGGAACUUCCACAUUCUGCAAGUGUGGCCAGAACAACAUCAACAAAAAAAGAUUCUAUGAACAAGUCAUGGCAGAUUUAUUAUAUUUCUAUGUGACUAAUCCCACAAAGUGAUUUUAGACCUGAAAGGGAUGUAUAAAUAUAUAUUUCAGUGUUAUCAUAAUUUUCUUCCAUGUCCAAGGAAAAAGUUUUUCUCAUAACUUGAACAUCUGGAGAGAUUCUACAUCUCUAGUUUUAACUAAUUAAAUGCUGCUUUAGGUUGCAGAAUAUCAAUGCACAAUGAAAAAGAUUAUGUUUGGGUUCUGCUAGAAAUCAUAGUUUUGAUAGAAAUGACUUUCCCCCAUAUAAAAGGAAAGUUAUAUUUAAUGAGUUCUUCUGAAAAUCAUUCUUCACAAGGGAGAGGCUUGUCCCCCGCCCCCAUACACACAUAGUCUCUUUCACCCAUUGGCUGUAACCCAUAAUCUUGCACAUAAGGUGCCCUGACUCACCCAGUGUCCAAAUGACCCCUAACCUUUUGUUUUGUUUUAUUUGGAAAAUGUAUUAAUGCAUUUUCAUAUUUUUCCCCCUAUGCCCUGAACUUUUUACAUAAGAGAAGCUUUAAAUAAAACUGGGAGAAGGAGAUUAGGGGUUGGUAUGCAGAGAGAAAGAAAGAAUUUAUCGGUGAGCUCUCUCAGCUGUACAUUUAGGUAAAAGACGUUUUUAGUAUUUUGGGAUAUACAUCUCACCAGACAUAGAUGGUAUUAUUAUUUAAAGUAUUUAUUUUACUUUGUUUUUGACUACUAUUUAUGAUUCAUUUGGCAUUUGCAUCUUUGAGGUUUCUUUUUCAAUAUUGGUUUUAACUCUCAAUUGUGCACUAAAGAAACUGCUCUUGUCCCUUCAAGUGGAACUGAUAAGCUUUCUGUCUCAUGGGUCAGCCACCUCUAGGACUCCAGUCUUGGUUCACUUUGUCUCCAUUGCUUAGACUGUGCCUCGUCCAGAAAUGUCUUCUAAACACAAUAAUUCAGAUAUUGGGGAAAUACCGCCAAUCCAAGGACCUUAGACUACACCUAAUAAACAAUGAUUUAGGCACCGUCAUGCUGAUUUGAAUCAAAUAGACUUGGAGGAACUCAGGGU